UAGGGAAUCUUCGGCAAUGGGCGCAAGCCUGAUGGAGCAACGCCGCGUGUGUGAUGAAGGCUUUCGGGUCGUAAAGCACUGUUGUAUGGGAAGAAAUGCUAGAAUAGGGAAUGAUUCUAGUUCGACGGUACCAUACCAGAAAGGGACGGCUAAAUACGUGCCAG
rnacentral:rRNA from 1 species